GACGAACGCUGGCGGCGUGCUUAACACAUGCAAGUCGAACGGUGAAGGGACCGGUUUUUGCUGGUUCUGGAUGAGUGGCGAACGGGUGAGUAACACGUGAGUAACCUGCCCCCUUCUUCUGGAUAACCGCAUGAAAGUGUGGCUAAUACGGGAUAUUCUGCGCCUGCUGCAUGGUGGGUGUGGGAAAGAUAUUGUUUCGGUGGGGGAUGGGCUCGCGGCCUAUCAGCUUGUUGGUGGGGUGAUGGCCUACCAAGGCGGUGACGGGUAGCCGGCCUGAGAGGGUGGACGGUCACACUGGGACUGAGACACGGCCCAGACUCCUACGGGAGGCAGCAGUGGGGAAUAUUGCACAAUGGGCGCAAGCCUGAUGCAGCGACGCCGCGUGAGGGAUGGAGGCCUUCGGGUUGUAAACCUCUUUCGCCAGUGAAGCAGGCCAGUCCCUGUUGUGGGUGGGUUGACGGUAGCUGGAUAAGAAGCGCCGGCUAACUACGU
rnacentral:rRNA from 1 species